rnacentral:rRNA from 1 species
CAUGAAGCUGGAAUCGCUAGUAAUCGCGGAUCAGAAUGCCGCGGUGAAUACGUUCCCGGGUCUUGUACACACCGCCCGUCACACCAUGGGAGUUGGAAAUGCCCGAAGUCAGUGACCCAACCGGAAGGAGGGAGCUGCCGAAGGCAGGUUCGAUAACUGGGGUGAAGUCGUAACAAGGUAAC